rnacentral:rRNA from 1 species
GACGAACGCUGGCGGCGUGCUUAACACAUGCAAGUCGAACGGAAAGGCCCUGCUUUUGUGGGGUGCUCGAGUGGCGAACGGGUGAGUAACACGUGAGUAACCUGCCCUUGACUUUGGGAUAACUUCAGGAAACUGGGGCUAAUACCGGAUAGGAGCUCCUGCUGCAUGGUGGGGGUUGGAAAGUUUCGGCGGUUGGGGAUGGACUCGCGGGUUAUCAGCUUGUUGGUGGGGUAGUGGCUUACCAAGGCAUUGACGGGUAGCCGGCCUGGGAGGGUGACCGGGCACAAGGGGACUGAGAGAGGGCCCAGACGCGUACGGGAGGCAUCAGGGGAGAAUAUUGCACAAUGGGGGGAAGCCUGAGACAGCAACGCCGCGUGCGGGAUGACGGCCUUCGGGUUGUAAACCGCUGUCGCCUGUGACGAAGCGUGAGUGACGGUAAUGGGUAAAGAAGCACCGGCUAGCUACGUG